rnacentral:rRNA from 1 species
AUUGAACGCUGGCGGAAUGCUUUACACAUGCAAGUCGAACGGCAGCACGGACUUCGGUCUGGUGGCGAGUGGCGAACGGGUGAGUAAUACAUCGGAACGUGCCCAGUCGUGGGGGAUAACGUAGCGAAAGCUACGCUAAUACCGCAUACGAUCUAAGGAUGAAAGCGGGGGAUCGCAAGACCUCGCGCGAUUGGAGCGGCCGAUGGCAGAUUAGGUAGUUGGUGGGGUAAAGGCCUACCAAGCCGACGAUCUGUAGCUGGUCUGAGAGGACGACCAGCCACACUGGGACUGAGACACGGCCCAGACUCCUACGGGAGGCAGCAGUGGGGAAUUUUGGACAAUGGGCGCAAGCCUGAUCCAGCCAUUCCGCGUGCAGGAUGAAGGCCCUCGGGUUGUAAACUGCUUUUGUACAGAACGAAAAGGCUCUGGUUAAUACCUGGGGCUCAUGACGGUACUGUAAGAAUAAGCACCGGCUAACUACGUGCCAACAGCCGCCGUAAGAC